CCUACGGGUGGCAGCAGUGAGGAAUAUUGGUCAAUGGGCGAGAGCCUGAACCAGCCAAGUAGCGUGCAGGAUGACGGCCCUAUGGGUUGUAAACUGCUUUUGUAUGGGGAUAAAGUCAAUCACGUGUGAUUGUUUGCAGGUACCAUACGAAUAAGGACCGGCUAAUUCCGUGCCAGCAGCCGCGGUAAUACGGAAGGUUCGGGCGUUAUCCGGAUUUAUUGGGUUUAAAGGGAGCGUAGGCCGGAGAUUAAGUGUGUUGUGAAAUGUAGACGCUCAACGUCUGACUUGCAGCGCAUACUGGUUUCCUUGAGUACGCACAACGUUGGCGGAAUUCGUCGUGUAGCGGUGAAAUGCUUAGAUAUGACGAAGAACUCCGAUUGCGAAGGCAGCUGACGGGAGCGCCACUGACGCUUAAGCUCGAAGGUGCGGGUAUCGAACAGGAUUAGAUACCCCAGUAGUC
rnacentral:rRNA from 1 species